UGUGAUUCAAAUCCAACUUUCAGACUUUAAGUGUACACUUGAACAAACACUGCUUGCUUGAUGCAUAUAUUUGGAAUAAAUAAACCUAUUUUAAGUAUUGGGCCUACAUGUAUACAAUCAGUUUUAUAAGGUAACCUAGAUUAGGAUGCUUGCUUGUUCACCUGCUCGUAAUAUAAAGUGAUACGGUAAAACAUUAUGUAGAGGACGACAUUUGCUCGGACAUUAGGCUCCAUAGUAUAACGAAUGCAAUAUUAUACACAAUAUUAUACUUUGGAUUAAUUCAAGUAAAAAUGCGUGAUAAGUAACGCUAUUAUAGAGUAGACACUCGUAGACUAGACUGACGAUACGAAUGUAAAAAUGGGAUCAAAAUACAAACACCUUGAUAAAGAAUACCUUGUAGAGAAUGGAGAGAAUGACACUGUGCCCCAUUUGCCACCUGGAUCCCCUACGCACGUGACCGUACAAGGGACUCCAGUACGAGCGACAGGUGACGGACAUGGAAUUUAUAUGAACAACCCGCCUCCAAUAAAUGAGGGGACCAUAAUUCCCCCGCCAGAAGGUUUAGACAAAUCACGUCCUGGAUUCGCAGAAACGAAAGUGUUCAAGCUUUCACUAUUGCAGAUUUGCCUUGGUGCAUUAGCUAUGAUACUUGGGAUAACUGUGCUCGUGACUCGGACUUGGACAACUGGCGCUGGAAUAUUUAGCGGCUUGUUCUUUUGUGUGACUGGAAUUGUUGGUCAAAGUGCAGCUCGAAAGAAAACAAAUUGUACUAUAGUUGCAUAUCUCGUGCUCAACAUUCUGGCUAUUAUUUUAUUUGCAAUGACUUUAAUAACUACUGCUGCUAUUGGUAUAACUCGCGAUACAAGAGUGAUGCAAGUGUAUGACGACGAUGGCGUCACGACAGUUGGCAGUGUUACAAACAACACGAUAGAGUCCACGAGUAACACUCCAAUAACAAUAUCACACGACUUUACGACUAAUCCCAUGAGCACCACAACACAUCACUGGCAUUUCGUACGGCAAAACUACCCAUAUCGGAUGGUUCAACACGCUAUCUUGAUGCUGUGUGGCGUUCUCCAUUUCAUCAUGUGCAUUUUGGGGAGUGUAUUUAGUGGAAGGGCGGUAUGUGGAAAAAAUGCUAACCGACCUAAAAUUGUAUAUUAUGUACCGGUACAGAAGCAGCAAGAAAUGACUGAUAUGAGCACUGCAUAGAAAAAGGACAGUCACUAUAUAUACCAGUCAAUUAAAAUGAACAAAGAUUAUUUAGAUUAAAAUGUUUAUGACAUGAUUAUGCUUCACAGGGCUGUAGUCAGGGGUGUCACCUGUGGCCCAAAAUUCUCUCAAAACCAUGCAGUUUUUACCAUUCUGAGCAUUUUUCAAUGAUUUUUGGCCAAAGUUGUCA
rnacentral:misc_RNA from 1 species